AACCGCUUUCACCCAUGACGAAGCGAGAGUGACGGUAGUGGGAGAAGAAGCACCGGCCAACUACGUGCCAGCAGCCGCGGUGAUACGUAGGGUGCGAGCGUUGUCCGGAAUUAUUGGGCGUAAAGGGCUUGUAGGCGGUCUGUCGCGUCGGAAGUGAAAACUCGAAGCUUAACUUCGAGCCUGCUUCCGAUACGGGCAGACUAGAGGGAUGCAGGGGAGAACGGAAUUCCUGGUGGAGCGGUGGAAUGCGCAGAUAUCAGGAGGAACACCGGUGGCGAAGGCGGUUCUCUGGGCAUUACCUGACGCUGAGAAGCGAAAGCGUGGGGAGCAAACAGGNUUAGAUACCCUGGUAGUCCACGCCGUAAACGGUGGGCACUAGGUGUGGGGGACAUUCC
rnacentral:rRNA from 1 species